UUAAAUGUCAUAUUACAGUAACAUUUCCUCUUCCAUUUGUUAUCAUAACUUUAAGGAGUCUCUUUUCACUUUAAUUUAAUUUUGUGACAUUUUCUGUAGCAGCAAUUUUUUUAUUCUUCUAAACACCAUGGACCAAUGUAGCGAUGACAGGAAACACCAGCAACCUCCUGAUAAAGAACAACUUUUGGGUAAACACACCACCAGAGACAAACUGAAUGAUGUGAUAUGCUGACAAAACCCACAGGUUGGGUUCAAGAAAAUGAGAAAAGAUACUUCAUCAUAGAGCAGGUCUUGUCCUCAGCAUCUCUUAGAUGAAUACAUAGUGGAUCACACUCCUGUUGCUUUGCUUGUUGAAACUGCAGUGCCCUGAGAUGUGAGGCACAGCAGCUGGCACAGCCCUUCCACCUCAACAGGAAAAAUGGAAAGAAGCCAGAGGCAGACAGCACUGCAGAUGGAAAGGGUCAGUCAUGGAAAUCUGAGUUCAAAACCUACUGAUCCCAGCAGCCCUUGCAUUGAAACACAAAUGAACACAGAGUAUGAACAAAAGAUCUAAAUGCAAACCAUCUAAAGUGCAUGACAUAUAUGCAGAUACAUUUGCAAGUGAUGCCACUGGACAUUGCUGAAUAGAGCAAGGCACAACUGGGAUUCAGCAGCUGCUCCCUUCCUGCUCUGUGCAGAUAACACUAGGUUUCAUGCAUGUGGCAGCUUCUGUCAUUUUCUGUCCAAGUCUGGGGGAGGGAAGGAUACAGAAGAUAGGAGAAAGCAAUAUUUUAUAUUGCUAUCUAGCAAACUUCUCAGAAACAUUGAAAAAAUGGUGUUAACACAAUUCUGAAAGAGAAACUGCUGCUCAGCUGAGAGGAAAUAUGACACCCAAAGAACCUCCUGGGGAGAAGUGGGUGAAGGUGUGCAGAUAUGACUUCUGAAGAUGAAGAAUACAGUACUUCUCUUUUUGAUUCAUAAACCAAAUAAUUUUUUGAGGCUUUGAAAAUGUGAAAAAUCUCUACCCCUUCUUAAAACAAAAGGUGUGUA